rnacentral:rRNA from 1 species
UACGUAGGUGGCAAGCGUUGUCCGGAAUUAUUGGGCGUAAAGCGCGCGCAGGCGGUUCCUUAAGUCUGAUGUGAAAGCCCACGGCUCAACCGUGGAGGGUCAUUGGAAACUGGGGAACUUGAGUGCAGAAGAGGAGAGCGGAAUUCCACGUGUAGCGGUGAAAUGCGUAGAGAUGUGGAGGAACACCAGUGGCGAAGGCGGCUCUCUGGUCUGUAACUGACGCUGAGGCGCGAAAGCGUGGGGGAGCAAACAGG